CGGGGCCCCGCCCCCGCCGCGCGCGCAGCGCCGCCGCCGCCACCGCCGGGGGGAGGGGAGCGAAGGGGAGGAGGCGCGCGCCGGGCCCGCGGCCGCCCGGCCGUUGCAUCAUGCGCGGCGGCGCCGCUCCACACGGCGGGAAGGCCCGGCGCGGCGCGGCCCCGCCGCAGCAUCCCCGCGACCCCCGCGCCGCGCGCCCUGCACUUACCUGGCCCGGCGGCGGCUGCGGCUGCGUUGAAACUUACGUUUUCUCUGAUGGUGACUCAUCCAUCUGUAACUAGAGCAAAAAUUCCAGAAAAGAAAGGAAGUGCUUAUUGCAGCAGUGCCGUCCUCCUCCCAAAAAGUUGAUUCUCCAAGUUUGGACUGCAAUGCUGAAUGUUACUGUGCAUCACCCCUCUGUGAAGACUUAGAAGGCGAAAUAGGUGUUACCUCUGCAGCCAGGAGUGCCAGGUCCUUUUGCUGGAUGUUUUCCAGCGACCUUUGGAGUCCCUGCAGGGAGUGAAGGGCCCUGUCUCGCGUCACCCGCCGGUGGUUCCACGAGAGUCUGAUGCUGCCCCAUCAGCCUGCCACGUGAUCAGUCUGGCAGUGAAAUCACUCUGCAGCAGGGUCAACAUGCUACAGAUGAGGAUUUCAGCACAAUAUUCCAACCUAUACCCCAAGAUCAUGUCCACAGUACAAACAAGGACUGCUUAGAAAGUAUGAUAAAAACCUAAGCCAUGCUGUUCCAUCUUCAUUUUAAAAAUCCUUUGAGGUCCACAAGUUAUGUCUAAGUCAGUGGUAAGGUUUUUCACUACUUAAGUGGCCUUCCCAAAAUGUAUCAACUCAUCUUUGUAAAUGUGCCUUCUGAAAACCAGAAGAUUGGAGAUUGACUUUUUUUGGUCUUCUGGUCUGUUGCCAAAGUUGUGGUUAUCCCAGUAAACUACCUGUUGCAUUAAAAGCAUAUGUAUGCAUACUGCUACAGGAUGACUGCAUGAAUAUUUUUAAAGUAUUAAUGCUAAAUCAAAACACAUAAUAGACAAAUGGGUAAUUUUUUCCAGUGAUUCAGUGUCACAGUGCAAUGUUCAUGGAGAUAUCCUCUAGGACAGUUACCAGUAUAUGUGUUCAGUCUUAGCUACUUCUUCAGUUAAUAUUGCAAAUGAGUAUUUUUAGGAGAAGCUGAUAAUCAUAACACACUUCUGACAUCAGAGUGAAUUACUCGUAUGAGUGAGGGGAUGCUAUUGCUCCAACUAGCAGGAUUUCCUUAAAUAAUGAUGCUAACCUAGAUGUAGAGUCCAGCUGGCUUUAUGCAUGACAAGUCUAUAGACACCUGUCUAUUAUGUCAUGUCAGUAUUUAGUUUUAGGUGCAGUUCUUGCAGCUCUGGGCAUUUACAGUUGUGAGGCUAAGUUCCCUGUACAGCUCAUGUAGCAUCUAAGUUAAAGGCCUGAAUUCAGAGCUAACUGUGUGCAAACACAGGUAGGGAGCUACGUUUCUAGAUUUACCAGCAGGUUAAACCUCCAUUUUUGGAUUAUAUCGUGAAUGAUAUAAUGAGAAGUGGCUAGCUGUAUACAGUACUAGUAGCUGCAAUCUUUGGAGAGUAUUUGGGACCACUGCCCCUAAAAGCAGAGUUGGGACCUGAGUGGGGAGCAUGUUAGCUGCCCUAUUACUGUUCUGCUGUGUAAUUUUUCUGCUAGCUGAGGGUCUGAACCAGUUCCUACACAGAUCAGUGAGAGUCUUCAUGCUCAAUUCAGUGGGGUAGGGGCAGGGUCUGUAAAAAAUAAACUGUAUUUCUGAUAUGUUCCCUUAAGCCAUACAAUGGCAAAAUCAAAAGGAAAAGAAUGACAUUUUCUUGGCAGUUCACUUUAGUAAUAAAUGUAUUUCAAGAUAAAAGUUAAUUUAACUUUUCCAUCAAAAAAUGUAGAAAUAGCAAGGAAGUGUGUGAAAAAUAAAGUAUUUCAAAUGUAGAGAAGCAACAGUGGAAUUUCUGGACGCUCACUGGUUGUGAUAUUAGCUCAGGACAUGGGAAAGCCGAGAUUCCUCGCUUUGCCACUUAUUUCCUGUGUGGCCUUGGCAAGUCAUUCAGUCUCCCAGCUCUCUAGCUGUAAAACAGAGUAGCAGCACUGCUCCACCUCCCAGGAAGAUGUAAGUGUGAAUGAAUUAAAGAUUGUGAGCUACUCAUGAUGAGAAAAACCACUGAAGUUUGCAAGAUGCAAGACUGAAAAAUAAAUUCAGGUGGGAAAGAAGGCAGGUUAUUGUGUAGUCUGAGGUAGAAGACUAGAGAGUGAAUGGAUGAUUUGUGGGUAGACCAGAUAUUGAGCAUGGGGAUAACUGGUACAUAUUAGCAGAAGAACUGUAAAGAUGAUUGGAGGAAGUCUUGAGGCAAAGGUGACAGUCUCAUAAUGUGGAAUAAAACAGGAUAAGAGAUGGGGAGCAAAACUGUCACACACUUUUUCCUGGUAUUUCAACAGUACCUUCUUUGGGACAGAACUUAAUCCUGUAUCUGAAAAGCACUCAGGAUAUUCUGGGCACUGUGAGUAUAAUCACUGAAAUACGAUCCUAACUAUAAAAGAGGAACUAUGUAGGUAAUGGCUCAUUAACCAUGUAAAAAAAUUGGAGUCAGAUAAACCACUUACAGUUUCACAGCCUGAUCAUACACGAUUGCAGGUGACAAGCUGGAAACGGGUUGAGUUAUGAGCCCCACUUUGAAAGGACGUGAGCAGUAGUCAGGCAGAAGGAAGCGAGAAGAUGCUCCCAGUCAGCUAGCAUGGUAAUUGCAAAUGACUGAGCUCUCAGGAGAGGAGCAGAAGUGAGUAGAGCACAAGGACAGCACGGGCUGAGGACAUGGCCAUAGAGACCCUGAAGACAAGGGGAAUGGUAAGAAAAGGGAAGAGGGAGAUGGCAUAAUUUAAGUUUUUUCACCCUGGAGUUGUAAGCAUUGCUUCUCCAAAAGAGAAAAGCCAUAAUGAUAAGUAAUUUAAUCAUCUGUCAUUGGACAAUCUUUGCAUGUCAAAAAUGGCAAUUGGUCACCAGCUGCCUUUCCCAGCUGAAGGGAAGGUCCUCUUUACUUGUCAUUCCAUGCUGCAUACUGAUCUGCUGGCCUCCAAGGAGGUUGGCUUUGGCACAUAAAGACUUUUCUUUUGAAAAUUGUCAUGGUGUGGCAGCUUUUACAUGUGCAGGAUCAUGUUUCCCCUCCCUGGGGCAGAAAGCACAGGAGAGGGGAGAAAUUUGUGUUGUCUUACAACACAAGAAGUAAGAUGGUAGGUUGCCAGCUCUUUAUUCACACAGAAAACUACUGCCCCAUCCCUGCCUGCUUCCCUGCUGCGCUCAGGGCACCGUGCUGUCCCCAGCUGAGUAUAUUGUCCCCAUGUCAUUCCCGGGGCAGCUGUCCUGUUUUUCCUGCUCCAUAGUGCCUAUCCCUGCCCCUGGCCAACUCUAUCCGUUCCUCCACCCCCUCCCCAGGUGGGGGAGAGGAGGGGCUGGGCUGGGCUGGCAUUCACACCAAGAGCUUUGCCUGCAGACAGGGCAUUCUGCAGCUUUGUCAAUAGCAGUGAAAUACUCUCAUUUAACAAGGCAGUAAAAUAAUUGUAUAAUGGUACUCUGAUUCCUACCUGAGCUGCUACGUGUCAUAUUCUACACAUACUUCCGAACCCUCGGACCAAAAAGCAGAGUCUUAUGCUACUGACUCAGCAUCUAAAGCCAGCCUGGAUAUUGUGGCUGUAUGCACAAGGGAGCUCCUUCUGCAGCCCACAGGAGUCAAAGGCCUGAGAACAGGGCAGGAGCUGAGUCCAGGGCAAGCGAAUGAGAAUUCAAUGUUCUGGUGCUAUUAAAAACCCCAACAGUCACAAAAUUUGCUUUUAUAAAGCAAAUAUAUUUGCAUUCCUUCAUGAUUAUGAUUUUCUUUUCAGUUUCCUUCCCUACUAACAGAAACCAGUACAACUGACUUUGUAUAAAUGACUUUCAGUGCUGUUCAGAAUUUUAGAGCAGCUUUUUUAAUCCUUCCCUGGCUCGUAGCUGCUAGAGGCAACAUCUACUUUGAGAUGGAAGAAUAGCACCCUCAAGAGUUGACAGCAGUGCUGCUUCAGGGAUCCACAGUAUGCAGCAGACAUCCUUCCUCUUUCAGUUGAAUUAACUCCCGGACACACUGAACUGAAGCAACAAGACAAAUUUUUUCUUGAUGUUCAAUCUGAAAUAUUUGGUAUCAGUCACUGUUGAGAUGAAUGUGGAAAUGUGCAUUUGUACCUGUCUGAGAGAUUAUCAGCUUCAAAAUGUUUUAGUUGCCAUAGAAGGAGGAGAGACAAAAAAAAAAAAAAAAAAAGAUCUUAUUUGUCUGGGAGUCUCAUUUUAUACCAUAUUAAAACAAUUUGAGCAGGAAUUUAUGUUUUCAUGUAAAAAGAUGAUUUAAAAGUUCUUAACUUAGAUAAAAGGGGUCUAUGUAAAAAAUACUGAGCAAACCAGUCCUUAAAUUGUGGGGACUUGUUCGUUAAUUACAGUAAUUAGGAAUGGAAUCUGAUCCUAAACUUUCUGAUUUACUUUGGAUUUCUUUUAAUGUGUGUUUAGGCCUUAAUUUCAAAAUGAUUAUAAGAUGUGAGAGUGUUUUAAGACUACAGAGACAUAGGUAUUGUUAUUAAGUGACAAACAGUUACAUGUUUCUGGUAUUUUGUAUAGCACUGACCUUUUAUUUUAAAUGCGUAUGGCCUACUCCUGUUUCUGCUGACUUCAGAGUUAGAUAAGGCCUUUAAAAGCUUCAGAGUAAAACCGAAUCACCAGCUGGUGUUGCAGAAGACAGCGUCUCCCAGUAGGCAAAAUGUCAAGCUCCAGAUUUGUCCCUUUUCUAUGAAUGGGAUGGCUUGAGUAGAACAAGCAGAAUUCAGACAGUCAGCUGCAAUUGGGAGAUUUUACUGUAGACUCUGAAGCAUCUAAAACUUGUUUCUGUCACAGACUUGAGGAUUUUCUUCUGUAGCAUGAGCUUGUUCAGAGUUGUUACUGGUGUUUUGACUGUGCUACAGCUCCAAGUCGACCACUGAAAUACCCCUUUCAGGAACUGCUCAAGUGUUGAAACCAACACAUACAAUUUUAGGAAAUAUUGACCAUGUAUAAAAAGAAUUUAUAACUGAUUUUUUCCAUUCAACCUGAAAAGUGAAAGCUAUAUUCUGUAAGUUAGUGUUUUUCCCUGCUGUAAUUACAGAAUGCCUUCUCUUGAUAGGAUACUGGAGUGCAACAAGGCUAUCUGAAUCUACUGGCCCUGCUUUUUGCUCCUGAAACAGAGGUUCACAUGUGCGGUGAGUGUGAAAGCAGCCCCCUACUGCCACCAGUUCUGCCGUCAGACUUCCUGCAUUUGGGGAGCCCAGACCACGGGCUGAACGUCGCCCUGGAGAGGAUGAGUUUGCCACCAGCGCGGCGUGCUGUAGUUUACAGGAUGAAUUUGUCACCAACGCAGCGUGCUAUAAUUUGCAGGCGUAGCCCCUGCACAGUAACCACUGCGAGAGGCAGGCGGCCUGGCGCGCGGCGAAGCCAUGUGCCUCCCCUCUCGGCGGCCGCGUCGGGACCGGGGGUCUGGCGGGAGUACGGAGACGAAGGCGCGGAGCGGCAUUAGCCCAGGUUUGAUGCCUGAUUCCUGUUGUACAGGUGACCUGACGAGCACCGCAAGAGCGUUUGCCGGCGUUAUUUCCGUGAACGGAGGAAUGCCGUGUGUGACCCCAAGCAAGCCUUGUCCUUGCCGUGGCCUGUGAGCUGGGCUGCUUCAGUAGUAUUUAGGCACUGCUGCUGCGAUGCUACCAGCAUCUGCCCAUCCUGACACAAAACGACGAGCGUGGCUGUGCAGUCCUUCCUUCUCCACCCCGGCCCUCGUCAGUCCCCGAGGUGGGAUCGGGGACGUGGGGGGGCAGCGGCUGAGAGGCCGAGCGAGUAAUCACGUGUCGGAGCGGGUGCGGGGAGGAAGGGAGUAGCUGUCUGCCAGCUCUGUGUACAGAGGUGAGACGUUGCUCAUGACCGUGGCAAAGUCCUGCAGCAGAGAGCGGGUCGGCACGUGAGGACUUCUCAGUGAUUUUUUUUUUUCCUGCCAAGGAGCCCGCCUUGUCCACCUGCUGCCGGUGGCUGGAAGGUAGGAAGCAGCUCCUGGAGCGCUUCAUGCUGACUUUCACCCUGAAAGCAAGCCGGUGCUGGAAGGUGCUUCGUGUUAGGAGAAAACAGAUCGUGCAGCUGGCGGUGAUACCACCUCGGCUGGUGCCCUAGGUCUGACAGGGCUUGGACGUGCUGGUUCACUCCGCAGCAGUCAGAGGAUGCCGUGCUUUGGACCGGCUGAGGAAAUGGGGUUGAGCAGAUGAGCACCGUGAGGCUGUAGCAUGAGCCUAGCAAUGCCAUCUCCAGUGCUACCACGCGUGCAAAAUGUGCUCGAAUGAGAUAUAAAAGAGCAGGUUUCCCCUUCGUCAGUGCGGUGCUACAGCACAGGUCAUUGCAGGCUGCUUUACAGAGCAACCCCCAGCGAGCAGAAGCAUGAACAAGGCUGUUGGGAUUGGAGAAGAGGAAAUACGUAUUUGGAAGAAAAUGUGAUACUGAGGGAAAAUUAGGAAAGAGAGGAAGCAAAAGGCUGCAGUUAGGGUGUAGAAGUGAGGAUAUUUAGAGUUUGAUUCUGCCAGCAGCAAAAUUCUCAUUGACUUUUACUGGACUGGAAACAAAUCUUCCAAGGAAAGAAUACAGGAAAAGGAAAGAGUGGGCCCGUGAGAGAGAGAGCUGUUUAACAACUACUGUUUAAGGGCCUGGCACUUGAAAAGGAGCUGAGGAGAACAUCAUUUGCCUUGAGAACUGUGAUCAAAUCAUAAGCUGGCAAUAUUGCUGAGGAUCGCCUUGCUUACCUGGGCUGAGCUGACGGAUGUGAACUGGCUGGUGCAAAGCUAGCUGUGUCGCUGCAGGUACUCAAAGGCUUUGAGUCUCCGGGAUGGUCACCACCCGUUUGUAUGCAUGGACGAUACACCUAUGCGAGCAUUCACUGAGGAAGUGGGAGACCAGGGUCCAAUGCCUUCCUCAAUCUGAGAGUGCUUGUCUCUCACUUCCCAUGAGACUGUCUAACUGCCGGCUGAUCAGCUACUCCGGGUGAAGCUCUUAGAGUGAAACCAUGUCUUCCAUUAACCGGAUGUUUGCUCUCCCUGUCCUGCUGUUGGUGGCCAGCUUCUGUUUUAGAAUGGAGUGAUCAGAACUUCAUGUUGUGAAGAGCCUCAGGAUGCAUUUGGCCUUCUCAGAGCUGAUUUGCAAGACCCUGCUCCUCAGGGGAUUCAGGGAAGGGGCGCCUGACUUCAGGAUGCUGAGAGCAUAGUGGAGCACAGCGAGAACGCAGCUCCUCAAAGAUGCUGCUCUGGGCAGGUGCGGAAGCAGAAAACUUGAACGUGAACCAAGGAGAGACUACAGAGUGCAGGUGUCUGAGAGACGAGGACCUUUGUGAAUCUGGACUUCAGCGCCGGAGUUCAACUGAAGUCUUGUUUUAAGCACUGAAGUCUUUUAUUAGAGCUUUACUCUGCUUGGUGAGACUGUGACCGUUAAUGGGAGAGUUGACCAGCAACAGCAGAUUACUAGAGCACUGUGAAAAAAGAAAGGAUGGAAAAGCCAAAAUCACCUGCAAAAAAAGAGGUACUGGUGAUGGCUGGGGCGAGGCAGAAGGAAAUGAAGCAUUUCUGGUGAUGGGACAGGAGGUAGCUGUGUCCUGCCUGGGAUGGGUGAGUGUGGUAUUUGGCAGUUUAACCACUGUUUCCAGUCCUCAGCUUAGACCCUGCUCCAGGGCCCUUGAGUGGCGGAGGCUCUCCUGUCUUCAGUGAGCUCCAAACUGACUUCGCAGACAUGCUGAGACCAGUGGGGUCAAAGAAAAUGGCUAGGUAGGAAGUCCGAGAGGAGCCGUUCCCAGGACUGACUUUUGCCCAUUUGUCCCUUCUCUGUCAGAGACUUGAAUGCUUCACUGCUUAGAGUUAACUCAACAACUUCACAAGAGAUUCAAUAAUAUUUGUUUUUACCCAAAUCCCUCGAAGUCUGAGGGAAUGGAGACAGCAUCAGUUUGAGAUGAGCAGCCAAGAAAAGUAAAUCAUCCUUGGGUCGGAGUAAACUUCCAUUUGAAGUGGCCACAGAUGGCAAAUAUGUUGAUGAAUCAGCGAUUUCACAGACCUCUGCCCAUUCGGAGAGUAGCAUGUGUAAACAAACAUGAAAAUGGCAGAGCCGCAGAGCUUUCCAGAUCCUUCCUGUUCCCUUCGCGCUGCUGGGGGAUCUCCUUGGAGGAGCCAUAGGGAACGAGAGGGUUGAGGCAUGGGUAAUCCUACAUCCUCUGCUUCAGUAUGCAAGAGCCAGCGAGCAGCAAGACCCUGCUCCCUGCCUGCCCUGUCACCCGCCAGCACACCCAGCUGUGCACUUCAGUCAAGGAGACAGCUGCUGACAACCUGACCGCAGGUGCUUGGGGGGGUUGUCUUAGAUAAAGGUAAGGAAAGAAGGGUUGGGGGAGGACAUGAGCCGUUGCACCACUGCGUCACUGCAAAGUGGUGCAGAAGAGCUCUUGAACAUUCAGGUUGCGUGGAGCAGGCCUGCCCCACGGGGCAGCCGAUCUCAGCAGCUCAUGGGUGGAUAGAGGUGAGGAGAAGGGAUGCAGCAAGCCGUGGUGAUGCAAGCCUCCUCUGAUACCUGCAUUGGAGCCACGUGCCCAUGCGCACGGGAAUCCUGUGGUCCAGGACCUUGGAAACCUGUCAGGGUCCUGAUUGCCUUACUCCAGUCCCACGCCAUGGUCCUGUCCCCUGCUGGUAGCAUUGCCCUCCUCCAUGCCAUGCAGAACCGGCAGCGGGGGCCCCUGUUCCUGCUCAUCUGUGCAGACAUGUCCUCUCAGGCUCUCAGCAGA